rnacentral:rRNA from 1 species
UCAAGCUACAAAGGGCUUAUGACGGAUGACUUGGCACUAGAAGGCGACGAAGGACGUGGCAAGCUGCGAUAAGCUUCGGGAAGCCGCAAGCUGGCUUUGACCCGGAGAUGUCCGAAUGGGGAAACCUAUUGUGGGUGAUACCGCAAUGCCUUUAUCUGAAUACAUAGGGUAAAGGGGCGAGACCUGGGGAAGUGAAACAUCUCAGUACCCAGAGGAAAAGAAAGAGUAAUUCUAUUUCCAGAGUAGUGGCGAGCGAAAUGGAAACAGCCUAAAUUUUCGCAACGUGAUAGUCUGCAUAUGUUGUUGCGAAGAGGUCAUGGGGCUAGAUCGGAUCAUCGUGCAGGAUGGUCGGUUUUGGUAUUCUUUAUAACCGAAUUGCCUGGAAAGGUAAGUCAAAGAGAGUGAUAACCUCGUAGGUUAAAUAAAGAUAUCGAGACUGGAUUUAGUUCCCAAGUACUACGGGACACGGGAAACCCUGUAGGAAUUCGGCCCGACCAUGGGCUAAGGCUAAAUACUCUCUAGUGACCGAUAGCGCACAAGUAAUGUGAAUGAAAGUUGAAAAGUCCCCCUGUAAGGGGAGUGAAAUAGUACCUGAAAUCAUAAGCUCACAAGCGGUAGGAGGGCUAUGUUCCGCCUUCGGUGGAAAAUGCCUGACUGCGUGCCUAUUGAAUAAUGAUCCGGCGAGUUAUUUGGGGUAGCAAGGUUAAUCCCUUCUGGGGAGAAGCCGUAGCGAAAGCGAGUCCUAAUAGGGCGUCCAGUUACUUCAAAUAGACCCGAAGCUGAGCGAUCUACCCAUGGCCAGGAUGAAGCGCGAGUAAAAUCGCGUGGAGGUCCGAACAGGUUAACGUUGAAAAGUUAUCUGAUGAGUUGUGGGUCGGAGUGAAAGGCUAAUCAAGCUCAGUGAUAGCUGGUUCUCCUCGAAAUAGCUUUAGGGCUAGCCUCGUAAAUUAGAGUUUGGGGGUAGAGUACUGAAUGGGCUAGGGGACCUACCAGUCUUCCGAACCCAAUCCAACUCCGAAUACCGAACUUUUUUAUUACGGGAGUCAGACUACGGGGGAUAAGCUUCGUGGUCGAAAGGGAAACAGCCCAGACCGUCAGCUAAGGUCCCUAAAUAUACGCUAAGUGGUAAAGGAUGUGAAAGUACCGAGACAACCAGGAUGUUGGCUUAGAGGCAGCCAUCAUUUAAAGAGUGCGUAACAGCUCACUGGUCAAGUAUUUUUGCGCCGACAAUGAUCGGGGCUAAGCGUAUUACCGAAGCUACGGAUUGAUUUUACCUAUGGGUAAUUUCAGUGGUAGAGGAGCGUCCUGCCAAGCGCCGAAGGCGUACCGAAAGGAGCGCUGGAGCAAGCAGGAGUGAUUAUGCCGGAAUAAGUAGCGAAAAUCACGGUGGAAAACCGUGACGCCGUAAAUCCAAGGUUUCCUGGGGAAGGUUAAUCCGCCCAGGGUUAGUCGAUCCUAAGCUGAGGCCGAAAGGCGUAAGCGAUGGAUAAUCCGUUAAUAUUCGGAUACUACUCGGUUUGCGUUUUAAAGGAUCAGAGUGACGCAGGAAGAUAAACCAUCGGCCGGUUGGAUGUGGCCGUAUAAACCUGUAGUCCCGCACCUUUUUCGUAUUCAAUGUCUUUGUGGAAAUUUGAAUAUGCAAAAGGUGCGGGAUGAGGGGUGACGUGGAGCCCAAUCUACGGAGCGGGUGAACUGGUUGACUCUAUGCUGCCAAGAAAUAGCUUUGAUUCAAGUGAACCGAGUAACCGUACCGUAAACCGACACAGGUGGAUGAGGAGAAAAUCCUAAGGCGCUCGAUAGUACUCUCGUUAAGGAACUAGGCAAAAUUGCCCCGUAACUUCGGAAGAAGGGGUGCCUCGAAGGGUGAAGCUGCACAAGCCAGCUCUUUGAGGUCUCAGUAAAGAGGCUUCUGUGACUGUUUAGCAAAAACACAUGUCUCUGCUAAGUCGCGCAAGACGACGUAUAGGGACUGACACCUGCCCGGUGCUGGAAGGUUAAGGAAAGAGGUUAUCCCGCACCUUUUUCGUAUUCAAGAUUUAUCGGAAGAAAUUGAAUAUGCAAAAGGUGCGGGAGAAGCUUUGAACCGAAGCCCCAGUAAACGGCGGCCGUAACUAUAACGGUCCUAAGGUAGCGAAAUUCCUUGUCGGG